CAUUGAACGGACUCAAUCGUUAUUAGGAUGAUAACGGCAAGGAAGGCAAUGGACACCUCUAGGAUGAGGAAUGGAACUGGCAUCAGGACGAUGAAAGGGACACCGCUCAAGGAACAAGUGAGUGCGCUAACGAGGAUUGUUAGCAGAUCAGGAUAAGAUCAUUGGACACCGCUAGGACGGCGAUGAAAAGGAUUGUGCUGAAGGACACAGCGCUGCUAUCAAGGAUUUGAUGCAUGGAGCAACAUUAGUAGCCGGAUUGCUGCGAGUAAGAUUAUAACCCCGAUGGGCUUUGCCCUCGGGGUUUUUCUUUAU
rnacentral:other from 1 species